UGAUCCAGCCAUGCCGCGUGUGUGAUGAAGGCCUUAGGGUCGUAAAGCACUUUCGCCAGAGAUGAUAAUGACAGUAUCUGGUAAAGAAACCCCGGCUAACUCCGUGCCAGCAGCCGCGGUAAUACGGAGGGGGUUAGCGUUGUUCGGAAUUACUGGGCGUAAAGCGCACGUAGGCGGACUAGYCAGUCAGAGGUGAAAUCCCAGGGCUCAACCCUGGAACUGCCUUUGAUACUGCUAGUCUUGAGUUCGAGAGAGGUGAGUGGAAUUCCGAGUGUAGAGGUGAAAUUCGUAGAUAUUCGGAGGAACACCAGUGGCGAAGGCGGCUCACUGGCUCGAUACUGACGCUGAGGUGCGAAAGUGUGGGGAGCAAACAGGAUUAGAUACCCUGGUAGUCCACACCGUAAACGAUGAAUGCCAGUCGUCGGGCAGUAUACUGUUCGGUGACACACCUAACGGAUUAA
rnacentral:rRNA from 1 species